CAAUAGCGUAUAUUAAAGUUGUUGCAGUUAAAAAGCUCGUAGUUGAAUUUCUGAUAGAAGGGAGCGGUUCCGUAUUCUUACGGAUACUUGCUCGUCUUCCGUCAUCCUUGGGCUUAGUCUCGCUGAUAUUAACUUAUCGGCGUGUACGAUGCCCAUCGUUUACUGUGAGCAAAUUAGAGUGUUCAAAGCAGACUUAUGUCGUUGAAUAUAUUAGCAUGGAAUAAUAAGAUAGGACCUAGUGACUAUUUUGUUGGUUUGCGUUAUUAGGUAAUGAUUAAGAGGGACAGUUGUGGGUAUUCGUAUUCAGAUGUCAGAGGUGAAAUUCUUAGAUUAUCGGAAGACGAACGACUGCGAAAGCAUUUACCAAGGAUGUUUUCAUUAA
rnacentral:rRNA from 1 species